ACCGACGAGCCGCUCGUGCUCGGGGACCUCGACGAACAGGAGGAGGGGCUCGCCACGGGGGAACAACAUGCUCCAGUUCCCGGAUUACCAGGUUUGGUGAUGCCGACCAAGAAGACUAUUGGUGCGGAGAAAGCGGCUGAUUCGAUACUGGAGUGCCUGUCAGUGGGCGGCGGCUACACGGCGGAGGUGGC